rnacentral:rRNA from 1 species
CUACGGGCGGCACCAGGCGCGAAACCUUUACAAUGCGGGAAACCGUGAUAAGGGAAUCCAAAGUGCUCAAGUUUACUUGGGCUUUUGCCAAGAGCAAAAAUCUUGGCGAAUAAGUGGUGGGUAAGACUGGUGCCAGCCGCCGCGGUAACACCAGCGCCACGAGUGGGAAUCAUGUUUAUUUGGCCUAAAGCGUCCGUAGCCGGUCCUGUAAAUCUUUUGUGAAAUCUUCAGGCUUAACCUGUUGGCGUGCAGAAGACACUGCAGGACUAGGAACCGGGAGGAGUCAGAGGUAUGGGAUGGGGAGCGGUAAAAUGCGAUAAUCCAUCUUAGACCACCUGUGGCGAAGGCGUCUGACUAGAACGGAUUCGACGGUGAGGGACGAAAGCCAGGGGAGCGAUCCGGAUUAGAUACCCGGGUAGUC